CGCCUUCUUCCCUUCCAAACUCCUAGAUAGAUAUCCAUCACUCUCAAUUUCAAUGUCUUCAACCUCCUUUGGGGCCACUUCAUCCUCAGACUUCAACUCGUGGGAAGAUAUAUUGCUCAAAAGCAUAAGCCAUCGUUUAGAAACGCUUGCGCAGGCAAUCCUUUCUUUGCCACCAGACAAUCGUCUGAAAAUCUCAAACAGGCACUCAUCGGGUAGAAUCUCGAUAGAAACGUUUGCCUUUGAUUCAACUCCUUCUCCACCAAACACAAAUGGAGCAGUGAUGCGAGACCUCUUGCGAGGAGGAAAAUAGACAUCGACAUGGUGAGGAGGGGACAAGAAUAAACUUGAGUCCUUGGGAUUUGGGUAUAUUGACCCUCCAGGGCAAAAAUCUUCACUACCGGAAUAGGCGAAGAGCUUCGACAUGAGUAUAGCUCAAAAAACCCCGGGAGGUGGAAUCUGCACGGAUUUGCACACAAAAACCCUCGAAAGAGAGCAAAAAGAAGAGAGGAAACGAAGAUGAACAACAAGAGCAAGAUGAAUUCAGCCUGUGAUUGUGAAUGCAUGAGAGAAGAACGGAGACGAAGGAGAUCGUUGAAACCCUAUCAGAUAGGGAAAAAAAAUUGGAAGAAGAAAG
rnacentral:misc_RNA from 1 species